GGCAGGUGGGCCUCUCAGCCCCGUGUGGUGUCCGCUUCUUUCAAUGAAUGUCAGUGAUAUCGGAGGACGGGUCACCUAUGGUGGUAUGGUCAAAGGAGAGGCUCCAGACAAAGAAUGAUCCAACCAAGCCCUCUGAGGUGGAGCUGGCAGAAGAUGUUGACACAUCACAAUGGCCGUGAAGGCGGAGGAAGGCUGCAGCAGUGAAGUGUCCCCAGUCAUCUUGCACUCCACUCCACUGGACCCUGGUCACGGAUCAUGUGGUGCUUACCAGUGCAUCGGCCUCCCCUCGUUAAGCAAGGUCACGUUCUCCAUUUAUGUGGAUCCUAGACCAGUCUUUACGGCCACCUGAAGGUGCAAACCCUUAGGAGAAGAUCAUACUCGACCUGAGUGAGUACACUACUACUGCUCUCUCCAGAGGUGUGAGGGGGGCUAGCCUUGCAAUGAGUGCACUAAGUCUAUCAUGGUCAAUGGCUCUGCCAGCUAAUACAGGAUGGGACUAAGAAGCCAAUAGAUUUGGGUCUGCCGGUCACUACAGUCAGUGUAGAGAGCACCCUACACUGUUGUCACAUGAGUGAAUGUGGAAGGAAGCCCUACAGCUCAACUCAAGAAAGGUGCCAUGCAAUCCCCUCUUGGUCCUUAUUCCAAAGUCUGACAUCAAUGAGAAGUUAAAAUCUGUGGACACCUGGCGUACUAUCACCAAUGGCUCAAUACUUCUUUGAUAUUGGCCAAGCACUGAUGGGCAUGCUUGUCCUAAACUGUCGUCAGAAAGGAUUCAUUCCUGAUACCCUGGGCCCUAAUGAGAAUGUUGAUAUUUUAAGCAAUUAUAAAAGAAUGAGAGGAACCAUGAA